GACGAACGCUGGCGGCGUGCUUAACACAUGCAAGUCGAGCGGUAAGGCCCUUUCGGGGGUACACGAGCGGCGAACGGUGAGUAACACGUGGGUGACCUGCCCUUAGCUCUGGGAUAAGCCUGGGAAACUGGGUCUAAUACCGGAUAUGACUCCAUGACGCAUGUUGUGGGGUGGAAAGCCUUGUGCGGCUAGGGAUGGGCCCGCGGCCUAUCAGCUUGUUGGUGGGGUGAUGGCCUACCAAGGCGACGACGGGUAGCCGGCCUGAGAGGG
rnacentral:rRNA from 1 species